AUACGUAGGGUGCGAGCGUUGUCCGGAAUUACUGGGGGUAAAGAGCUCGUAGGUGGUUUGUCGCGUCGUCUGUGAAAUUCCGGGGCUUAACUCCGGGCGUGCAGGCGAUACGGGCAUAACUUGAGUACUGUAGGGGAGACUGGAAUUCCUGGUGUAGCGGUGAAAUGCGCAGAUAUCAGGAGGAACACCGGUGGCGAAGGCGGGUCUCUGGGCAGUAACUGACGCUGAGGAGCGAAAGCAUGGGUAGCGAACAGGAUUAGAUACCCUGGUAGUCCAUGCCGUAAACGGUGGGCGCUAGGUGUAGGGGUCUUCCACGACUUCUGUGCCGUAGCUAACGCAUUAAGCGCCCCGCCUGGGGAGUACGGCCGCAAGGCUAAAACUCAAAUGAAUUGACGGGG
rnacentral:rRNA from 1 species